GAUGAACGCUAGCUACAGGCUUAACACAUGCAAGUCGAGGGGUAACGAGAGGGAAGCUUGCUUUCCUUGUCGACGACCGGCGCACGGGUGAGUAACGCGUAUCCAACCUGCCCCCAACUAGGGAAUAACCUUGCGAAAGUAAGACUAAUACCCUAUAAUUUCCUCAGAUGUCAUCUGACGAGGAAUAAAGAUUUAUCGGUUGUGGAUGGGGAGGCCUCUGAUUAGCUUGUUGGCGGGGUAACGGCCCACCAAGGCAACGAUCAGUAGGGGUUCUGAGAGGAAGGUCCCCCAGAUUGCAACUGACACACGGUCCGAACUCAUCCGUGAGGCAGCAGUGAGGAAUAUUGGUCCAUGGGCGAAAGCCUGAACCAGCCAAGUAGCGUGCAGGAUGACGUCGCUAGGGGUUGUAAACUGCUUUUAUACAGGAUUAAAGGUAGCCACUUGUGGUUGUUUGUAGUUACUGUAUGAUUAAGGACCGGCUAAUCCCGUGCCUGCCGCCGCCGUAA
rnacentral:rRNA from 1 species